UACGUAGGGUGCAAGCGUUAAUCGGAAUUACUGGGCGUAAAGCGUGCGCAGGCGGUUAUGUAAGACAGGUGUGAAAUCCCCGGGCUUAACCUGGGAACUGCAUUUGUGACUGCAUAGCUAGAGUACGGUAGAGGGGGAUGGAAUUCCGCGUGUAGCAGUGAAAUGCGUAGAUAUGCGGAGGAACACCGAUGGCGAAGGCAAUCCCCUGGGCCUGUACUGACGCUCAUGCACGAAAGCGUGGGGAGCAAGCAGG
rnacentral:rRNA from 1 species